UACGAGGGGAGCUAGCGUUGUUCGGAAUUACUGGGCGUAAAGCGCACGUAGGCGGCUUUGUAAGUAAGGGGUGAAAGCCCAGAGCUCAACUCUGGAAUUGCCUUUUAGACUGCAUCGCUUGAAUCCAGGAGAGGUGAGUGGAAUUCCGAGUGUAGAGGUGAAAUUCGUAGAUAUUCGGAAGAACACCAGUGGCGAAGGCGGCUCACUGGACUGGUAUUGACGCUGAGGUGCGAAAGCGUGGGGAGCAAACAGG
rnacentral:rRNA from 1 species